AGCUUGUUACGGCUUAUCUCUAUGGUUACGAUAAUGACGAAUCAGUAUAUAUAGAAAAAGAAAUGACGCAUAUUGUUAAAUUUCUCUCCCAUGCACGUGGCUUUGUUUGUUUUUAUAUGCAAAUGAUGUUUUGGUUUUGACACGCGGGAAGUUGGAAAUGUGACAGAAGCAGACAUAGAAACAAAUGUUGACGAAUGUAAUGGCUAAAAACAAUGGAAGAUAGUUCACAACAAAUAUAUCCUGAAUUUGUUGGAAGAUCUUUACGAGUCAUAGGCGAUGAAAUGAACGAUUAUUACUCAACUGCGCAAAAUGAGGGUCAUUCGCCAUGGAUAGUCAAUGAAAAUGUGCGGGAAAAAAUUGUGAAUAUACUGUAUUUUUGUAUACAUAUUAUACAUAUUGUUUGGUUGGAAAUUUGAAGAAACAUUCCAGGUAAAUUUUAUCUCUCAACUAUUUAACAACAAUAAAAAAACAACUGAAAAAAGCAUAUAUGCCCUUACUUUGUUCUGUGUGUAUACACGUAUCUCACAUACAUGAAAGUGUGGGGGUGAGGGAAAAGCGAAAGGGGGGGGGUGGUACGGGGCAACGAUCUUAAUAAGUUGCAGUGCUUAAAAUUAAGCUGGAUAUAAGCCGGGGUAGACAUUGUAAACAUAAGCAUUGUAGAAUUAUAUUUACAUUUUAACAAUACAGAUAAAUCCUGAAUGCAAAUGCAAAUGAAUCUGCUUUUUUUUACGUAAAUGAUUUUUAAAAGGCUUUAGAUAAAUGUUACUAUUGUAUGACAGUGUCCGUCAAUUUUAAAAUAUCUUUGUCACGUUCUUCUGUACUCAUAAUAAUCACUUCAGAUAAAGUACUUAAGUAUAACAGUUUUAGUGUCAAACUCUUGACUAAAUGUCAAUAACAUUAUUUCUUUGUUGUCGUAAAUAUAAAAUUGAUGGUUCAAAGUCUAUUUAUGAAGUGCAUCACGGUUGAGUUUGAUGAUCUUUUAUGCACAUUAUUUCUGCAUCAAGUAGUUAUUUGUUGUUAAAAAUGUCAAUUGCAUAACAGUAAACGAGAGAAAUUGAUUGUUGAAAUUUGAUAAAAGUAAUUUGACAAAUUAUAUAGCAUAUAUAAUUGGUAAUGAUUAAGAAUAAUGUGUUGAAAACUACGCAUAGAUAAAGCAAUUGGCAUCAAAUUAAUGCAUCUAUCAAUAUGAAUUUAAUGUGCUAUAAUAAAAAGAUCAUGUGCGAAAUUUCGAGAUAAGCAUGACAACUUAUGUUGUAUUAUAUAUAACAAAUGGAUGAAAUCUGGUCCAGGUGUUUACAAGCCAAUUCAUGUUCUAAAAGACAUAAGAUCAAAGUUCACGAUACCUGGUGUAUACCUUUUUGCACCUAUUAUUCAUUUACAUAUUACAAUCUGUGAGGGUCUGGGUGGGGUUUACAGUAUGCCAUUUCUGCAGAAAAAUGGGUCAAAUAAAUAUAGAAGAGAAAAACAGUCCCAUAAAAUUAAGAAAAGUGAAUAAUAGAAGGAUAAAAAAAUUAAGAAUAAAGAAAAAUGCCCUACAAAAUUAAAGAAUACAGAAACAAAGGACCCCCUGGAGAUCGUCAUCUGUAUAUGUCUGUACUAUUUACAUAAGCCUUAUGAUAGGUCAUUUUCUCAGGUAUGGUGAAUCACUUGACAUAGAGGCAAUGUUACAGCGGUUCUAAAUAUUGCUUCUUUGUUGUUUACUAAUGCACGUGCGUGUUUUGAAGACACGUGAAUAAGAAUACAUAUCUAUGACCUUGAUCUGCUAUCAAUCCAAUUCUUUCCCACGAUACGUCAUCACUAAAACUAAAGAUAUACGCAAGUUGUAUACUUUUUGAACUUUUAAUUUUUAUUUGUACAGACUUUUUUUCAUUUAAUGAUGCCAAGGCAUAAUCAAUUGCUGAACUGCCUAAACCAUUUAUCAGAAUAAUUCUAAGCUAAAGGUUUCUGCUAACUAUUUUUCUUAUGCAGAGGCAAAUUAAGGGGGUCAGGGGUGGGGAUGGGUGUAUCUAUGCUCUUAGAUUUAUAUACAGACGAGACAUAUCUCUAUCAGGGAUAAGCCUCGCCUGUCUGUCAUUUAUAUACUGUAGAUGUAUAGUUGUGUCAUUAGUAAAUGGUACUAUACUAUGGCAAUAAUGCAUAUAUAUAUAUAUAUAUACAAUAUGAUGAAGUUUAAGCGAUCUGAUUUGUUUUGUCAUUUCGGCAAUUUAGAACGACCACGAAAUAAAGGACGUUGAAAACUGGAUUGAGGAAUGUUAAGCAUCUGAACAGAGGUUUUAUAUUUUUAAUAUUAAGCCUUUCAUUUCAAUCCGAUUUCGAGGAUUGUUUUUCUUUUUCUUUUAUUUUAUAUUUAGAUAAACCUUCCUCUGUAAUUCAAUAGAUUUUAUGUGCCUUUUACUGUUCGCAGGAUGCAAGGAAUUAAAAAGAAACCAGUUUAAAAGGUUUUGGAUAUUAUUCGAAAACUCUCUGGUAUUUCUAGUCCUUUAUCUGGGGCGGAUCCAACCAUUUUAAAAAGGGGAUUCCCAACCCAGGAUAAAGGGGGUCGAACUAAAUGCUCCCAUUCAAAUGCAUUAAUCGUCCAAAAAAAAAAGCGGGUUUUACCCCAGCCCCCCCCCCCCCCCCCCCGGACUCCCCUGUGGAUCCGCCACUAUUUAAGGAAGUUUUGUGUUUGAAUACCUUGUGAAAACCCAUGCCAAUGAUUUUCAAUCAGAUAUCUGGUAGAUUUUAGUUUUGAGGGUCCUACCGUUUGGAUAUUUCACACUUUCCUUAAAAUAUUGAUAUGAUUUAUAGAUAUGUAUAAAAUGUUUUAUAAUUAGAUUUCGUCAGAAUAAGACUUUAACAGUGUGUCAUACUAAUUUUUCCAUUGAAUCUACAAACUAUAAGGAACUAAUAUCUGCAAAUCCUGCUUUACACGGUGAAAAGAGUUUUUAUUCAUCAUGUAUUUUGUUCUCCUUGUACGUGGUGUCUUGAUGAGAUGAUUUUAGGCUAGCAAUACGUGAAAAGACGUUGCACAACAUUUAAAUUUUACGAGCUGUUAGUGACUUAAAAUCAUUUUAGCUAUACACUGCUGUAUAAAAUUUUAUUGAAGUUUACGCCGCGAAAAACCUACACGUAAUGGGACAACGUGAACACUCUAACUUUAAUGAUAUUGUACUCGUUACAACAUAUUACUGUAUCUACCUGUGAUCCACUUUUGUUUGUGAUAUAGACUUUCAACUGUGUUUUGUCGAUGUUUGUUUACCCUUUACAUCUAUAAACUCAAGCUACAUGUAUCAUUUCUAACUCCUUUACAUAAAAUCUUUUGUAUAUAUACAACAAUUUCUUAGUUAUUUGUGCCAUUGUGUCAAUGAGUGUUUGUCUAGACACCAGUAUAGAUAAUUAUAUUGAACUUAAAAUUACCUGAACGAUAUAGAUGCUAUAAAUGUGUAUUGCAAACAGGUGUUGGUAAUAUUAAAUGUCUUGUUAUCAGACAAAUGUACCUUUAAUAUACCUUCAUGUCAUAACAAUGAAACUUUUGAUGGAGGAAAUGCAUUUGCAAACUGUUACUAGUAUCUGCGUUCUGUUUGAACGCGUUACAGGACCGGAUCAACUGGUGCAUAUCUACUAUGCUUAAAUUUUGUUAAAAGCACACAAAUCUACGCCUCUGAGUGAUAACUCUUUGUAAAACAAAAAACGCUACCUAUUUUGAUCAAAAACUUUUUUUUCUUACACAUAUGUGGUUUAUAUCGACGCUAAAGGAAUUAAGACGCUAAUAAGCGCAUGUGUUAUUCAAAUACUUAACUCUAAAUAUGUAUAUACAGUUCUAUUUUGAUCGGUUAUGCGGACAGUAUUCUUUUAAGAAUAUUUAUGAUCAAAAGUUGUUUUUUUGAAACACGGUUCAAAAACGAUAUAUAAUCUGAACUGUAUUAAUUAAUGCAGUAACAUAUCUUAAAUGUUACCAACACUCGUUUCUGGGGAAAAAAUACCCUUUUACCUUAAAACGUGUGUUGUAUUCAGAGACCUGUUUUGCUAAAUUGAAAAGAAACAAACCCAGUGAAAACUAGCAUUGAACAUGUCUCAAUAUUUAGCUUGUAAAUUAUUGCAAAUACAUAUGAAUAAUCGUUGUAUAUAUAAUUGUCGUAGAAAGCGUAAAGAUUAUGAUAUAUAAUAAGUGAUUGUUUUACUGAUAGCGAAUUUGUAAUAUUUGGAGUUACCACAAUACUAAAAAAAUUGGUAAUGUAAUUUCUUGAGAAAACAAUUGCGAUUUACAUCAGGGGAAUAAUGCCAAGUCUCUGCUUCAUCGUUUUCUACUUCUUAUUCUAGGGAAUAAAAUGUCAAAAGGAUAACACUUGUCGAGGUUUAUUUUUCGCAAUCUAAACAAAUAUAUCUUUGCACCCCGUCUCCCCUUGUCGCCACUGAAAGCAGAGAUCGAGAGAGAGAGAAAAAAAGCAGCAGAAAGUUGAUCAACAUAUAAAAACAAAAUCCACCCAUAAGCAAGCACUGAAUUUUAAAAAUGUUGUUUAACACUCUUUUUUCAUGAUUUUAUCCAUUCAAAUUUGCAAGUCCUUCUUUUUUUAAGUUUUGUGUUCGCCUUUGUUAUUUUUCAUCUCUUGAAGACAUUCUAGACAUAGACUUAAAGUUAUUGACAAAUUACAUGCAUAUAUUAAUGAACACGAUAUUUUGUAAUGCCUUAAAUAGAACAAAUAGGUUACACUCAAAUACUUUAGGACACUUUGUUUAUUGACCCUGAAGUAUGGAAUGCACUUUUAUAAUUAAAAUCACACUUAUGUUGUAUGGAAAUUAAAAAUAUCAAAUGUAUUUCUUUUCAUUUUAGAUUUAUACAUCUGUUACCCGAAGUUCAAUAAUCGUUAAACAUUGAAGUUAUAUAAGUAAAACUUUAUAUACAACAUGGGGAAAAUGACUGAUUCAGAGUAUCACCUGACAUGAGUAAUUUGUACCGGAAAUUCCAACGCGCUUUGGUACUAUAUUGUGAUUUUGGAAAGACCGGAAGUAGUGGAUUCCAUGACAAUCAGAUAUAUAUCAUCAAUGGAAAUGGUGCAGGUAAAAGGUUUUUCCAAGUCUACUGUUUGUAGGAUUUUCCAGUGUACAUGGACCUGGAAAGGGGUUUUCCCUAACAGAGUAUUGACAUCGUUAUCGACCAAUUGAUUUUUUCUUUGUUAGACGAUCUACAAUCACUGGAUGCAUUCCUUAGUUCAAUAUCGUCUUAUUCAUCUCAUACACAAGAGAGAUACCGCAAGCUGUGUUGGAAAAGUGCGAUAAAAUAGUUUUAAUUAGAAUGUCAUGAACAUUAAUUCAUUUUUCCAAAGGAAUGCGUCUGUUCGGUGAGCAGUCGAUUUAUGCAAUAUUAAUUAUCAUCAGCAAUAUAAGAGAUGUUAUUUCUUUUUUGAGAACAAAUCUUUAUUUAUUAAUAUAAAACUGUCUGUCUUUUAAGUGCCUAUUUAUUUGUUCAUAUUUAUGAAACAAUAGAAACUUUGAUUAAAUAACAUUUCUUUGUCUUAUUGUAACAUGAAUUAGAUUUUUUAAUAUACAAUUUACUAUUGCCGAAACCGCUAUUAAAGAGAUAAUACUGUUUAUCUAAAUGAAGCGUACAUAAGCCUAUACUAUAUUUGGAUUUAAACAUCUAUGUUUAGAAAAAAAACUUGAACUAGAUUUUGUACAACAUUAUUGAUUUAUUGAUCUGCGACACUUUUCAUAAACAUCAACAUUUCCAAAUAUCAUUUAUACAUAAUUAAGUCAGCUGAUCUCAACAAAAAUGAAAUUGCUCAUUUCAAUUUAUUAUAUGUAAUUAAUUUUAUGCAAAUCGUACUUUUUUAAUUUACUUCUUUGUAUUAUUCAUUAUUUCAAUGACAUUUUCAUCCUGUAAAUGCACCUAAUGGCAUGCCUUUAUGACUUUGAUAUUUUGUGAUUUUGGAUACGAUCCAAGCUAUUUUUGUAAAAAUGUAUUUCGUAAAUAUAUACACCUUUGUUAUUGAUUUUUAAAAAUAGAAAAUGCGUUAAAUACGAGAUUUUAAUCUAUAAAUAAGCCCACCUCGAUGUUGUAUUUCAUCAUUACAAAGCCAAAUUGGCUGCUUCAUCGUCAGUGUAAGUGAUAAUGGUAUGCUUGUAGAAUUAGUAAUUCCGAAUGUGACACAUUCACUAAAUAUCCGCUUUUUCUUGUAUAAGGGGGAAAAACAAAACAAGCAUAACUUUUCAUUUAAAACAUGCCAGUUAUUCAAAAGUAAAUGAAUUGAAAACGGAAGGCUCAGAGAACUUUUGUUAAGUCCUGAAUUGUCUCCAGAUUUUAUUUGAGACUAGCUCGUUUUCAAAUAGUCUCUGAGUAGAUUAGUAUUUCGGAAAUAACUUAAUUUACAAAAUUGGCUGUUACACUUGUAUCAAAAGUAAAUUUAAACAAUAGUAAAGAGAAGUGUAAAUAUUUUAAAGAACGUAGAGAAAUAAAUAGCAGGUUACUGGUAACAUUGAAGGAAACCAUUAAAACUAUAGGUUAACAUUUCUCAAAAUAAAGGCAGCGUGCACAGAUUUUACGUACAUUGAGGUUAAUCAUAUAAAUUAACUUGUAAAAAAAGAUGAAUAAAUAAAUAGGUGUUAAUGAACAAAUCAGCCUGUCAAAAUGAUUGUUUUAAUUUGUGAUGACAUUGAGUUGUUACAGUACUAGUUAUUCGAGUUUUAAAGAAUAAACUCGACCGACAAGUGUUUCCUUCAAACUUUCGAGUUGUUUUGCUAAAUAGAGUUAUCUUUCUUUGAAUGUUUUGUAAAAUAGCUUGACUUCACUGUUGAAGUGUUGCUUGUUAACCUGGUUGAUUUUUUAAAGUUUCAAGUUUUUGUUAGGCUUGUACAAAUUUCAGGUUCAUGUUUUGACUUGGGAUGGACAAGAAACAUUUCUUUAAAGAGAAAAUAAUAUUUUGAUUGGUCGUUUCAUAAUCUAAAUAGGAACAUGGGCAAUUUCUUUCUACGUACUCCAAAAUUGAAAUAACGUCUCGUCGUUGACUGAAUUUCCAUUGUUUCGGACGCCUUUUACUUAUCACAACGUUUUCAUUUACGGUUUUGAAAUUUUUUACCCAUACUACUUUAGAUUCUGAAACGACCAAUUUAUUUAUUUUUAAUCAUUUUCUGUUUUAAUAUAAGCCAGCAAUAUUUCAGGAAUCAGUGAUACACAUGUGUUUAGAAUUUAACAUUAUAUGCAUGGUAAGGUGCGGUAGAAUAUAAUGUUUAUUAUACGAUUGUUCAGGGUAUUAAAGGUAUAUCUAGUGCAUUAUGAAUUCAAAAAUUAAAACUUGCUGUAGUUAAAACAUUUAUGAAAAAUGAAUUUUUGGAAAUGCUUGAUAAUUUAGUUUAGAGAAAUUAUAUUUCAAUUUCGAAUAUAUAAUGAUAAUUUGAUAUGGAAUACAUGUGUUUUCCAAAAUUAUAGAAAGCAAUCAUGUAUCUUUAGUUAGAGAUAAACUUGUCAUGUAGUUGAUAUGUAUGAUAGGCCCUAAUUUAAAAAUAAUAAAAAUAUGUGCGUUUAGGGUUCCCUCCUCAAGAAAAUGUUAAAUGUAUAUAAAUUGUUGGAAUUUCCUCUAUUUUGCUUUUUUUUUUAUACAUAGGGAGACUUGCAAUUUUGUCAAACUUUACUAUUAGAAGAGACAAUACAAAUUUUAGGGUAGGAAUUGUUAGGUGUCAAACUAGGGGAAGUAUGGUAACUAAACGCAAAUAUUUUUAUUUUAUUUCGGCCUUAACAUUAUAUUUUUCAUGAAAUUAGCUUUUUAGUCGAGUUCAAUCAUAUGCAAGUAUUAAUGUAAAGAAUGCAACAUCAUAAACCCCGAUUCACAAAGUAGCAUAGAAGAAAAACACCGAAAAAUUGGGUGUAUAAUAAAUUGUUAUGAAAGAUUCGUGAAAUACUUGAACUUUAAAAUGCUCAAAGGGGAAAGAAUCUUUGAAGAUAUUCAGGUUUCUAAUAUCAAAAAUUGAGAAAAAGCAUGAAACUUAAACACCAACUUGAUAAUAAUUAAAUCAAAAGAUUAACUUUUUAUUCCACCGUUUAAAUUAUCUUGAUUAUCAUGUUUUGUACUUUUUUGCGAUAGAAAUUUCAAGUGUUUGACGAAUUUUUCAUUUAGAGAUCUCUAAUUAACUUUAUGCAAAUUCAAAGCAUAAUAACUGGACAGAUGCCAGCAUUGUUUAUGUCCAUGAAGACAUUAAAAUUGUUAUAAAUGUACUAAAAUUUAGGCAUGGCAAAUCCCGAUAGCAAAUCAUUUGGUGCAAUCAAGCAUUCAGUUUAAUUUUUAAGUGCUAUUGAUUUUGAGUACUAGUAUCAGUAUUAAGCAUUGUUUAGAACUAUAUUUUGGGGCGGAUUUGUCAAGCCUUGUGAUUGAGCGAAGAGUGAGACCCACGGGAACUGUUUCAAAAUAUUCCGUUUUCAUUGAUAUCAUAAAAUAUUAAGAGAAUAGUCUUGAUAUCAAAUGUUUUCAUACUUUUAUUUUAGCUUGGCGGUAAUAGAAUUCAAAUCCAAGUUAUCGCCCUUUAAUCGUCACUUUUUUCAAAUUUUCUGACAUUUUCAUUAUGUCGUCUGUUCGAAAAGAUCAUAUUUUGAGACGGUUCCUAAAUGAUGUUGUAUUUAGUAGAAUUACGGGUCGGAACUCGACACAUUUUUCUUGUCAUGCGUUGAAUAUGGUGCCAAUGUUUUUUUGAAUUAUUUAUGCGUUAUUUAAUUUUUUUAUUUUAAUUUUUGUUGCAAAUCAGAUAUUUAUAGAAGUGAGAGAAUGACUUUUGUAAAAUUAUUAAAACAAUUAAAACAAUA
rnacentral:lncRNA from 1 species